rnacentral:rRNA from 1 species
UGGGGAAUUUUGGGCAAUGGGCGAAAGCCUGAUCCAGCAAUGCCGCGUGCAGGAUGAAGGCCUUAGGGUUGUAAACUGCUUUUGUACGGAACGAAAAGGUCUGCCUUAAUACGGUGGGCCCAUGACGGUACCGUAAGAAUAAGCACCGGCUAACUACGUG